UAGAGUUUGAUCCUGGCUCAGCGCGAACGCUGGCGGCGUGCCUAACACAUGCAAGUCGAGGGGCAGCAGGCUGGGACCAUAUGGUUCUGGUGCUGGCGACCGGCGGACGGGUGAGUAACGCGUGGGUAACCUACCCCAUGGACUGGGAUAACCUCUCGAAAGGGGGGCUAAUACUGGAUAAGCUCACGGCGCGGAAGCGUUGUGAGAAAAGGUGGCCUCUGUUUACAAGCUACCGCCAUGGGAUGGGCCCGCGUCCUAUCAGCUAGUUGGUGGGGUAAAGGCCCACCAAGGCUACGACGGGUAGCCGGCCUGAGAGGGUGGUCGGCCACACUGGCACUGAGACACGGGCCAGACUCCUACGGGAGGCAGCAGUGGGGAAUAUUGGGCAAUGGGCGCAAGCCUGACCCAGCGACGCCGCGUGGGGGAAGAAGGCCUUCGGGUUGUAAACCCCUGUCAGGAGGGAAGAAUGGCUUGGUGGUGAACAAUCACUGAGCCUGACGGUACCUCCAGAGGAAGCCCCGGCUAACUACGUGCCAGCAGCCGCGGUAAUACGUAGGGGGCGAGCGUUGCGCGGAAUCACUGGGCGUAAAGGACGCGUAGGCGGGUUAGUAAGUCAGGUGUGAAAUCCUACAGCUCAACUGUAGAACUGCACUUGAAACUACUGACCUAGAGUAUGGAAGGGGCAGAUGGAAUUAGUGGUGUAGGGGUAAAAUCCGUAGAUAUCACUAGGAAUACCGAAAGCGAAGGCGAUCUGCUGGGACAUUACUGACGCUGAGGCGUGAAAGCGUGGGGAGCAAACAGGAUUAGAUACCCUGGUAGUCCACGCCCUAAACGAUGAACACUAGUCGUCGGGGUACAAGUUACUUCGGUGAUGCACUUAACAGAUUAAGUGUUCCGCCUGGGGAGUACGGUCGCAAGAUUAAAACUCAAAGGAAUAGACGGGGACCCGCACAAGUGGUGGAGCAUGUGGUUUAAUUCGAAGAUACGCGAAGAACCUUACCUAGCCUUGACAUUGAUAGGAUCUGCUAGAGAUAGCGGAGUGCCAGUUUACUGGAGCUUGAAAACAGGUGCUGCACGGCUGUCGUCAGCUCGUGUCGUGAGAUGUUGGGUUAAGUCCCGCAACGAGCGCAACCCUCGUCGUUAGUUGCUAACAGUUCGGCUGAGCACUCUAACGAGACUGCCUUCGUAAGGAGGAGGAAGGUGAGGACGACGUCAAGUCAUCAUGGCCCUUAUGCCUAGGGCUACACACGUGCUACAAUGGGGAGGACAAUGAGAGGCGAUACCGCGAGGUGGAGCAAAUCUAUAAACCUUCUCUCAGUUCGGAUAGCAGUCUGCAACUCGACUGCUUGAAGCUGGAAUCACUAGUAAUCGUAGAUCAGCAAUGCUACGGUGAAUACGUUCCCGGGUCUUGUACUCACCGCCCGUCACACCAUGGGAGUUGAGUUCACCCGAAGCCGGAAUGCCAGACUGGCUACCGUCCACGGUGGGCUCAGCGACUGGGGUGAAGUCGUAACAAGGUAACC
rnacentral:rRNA from 1 species